rnacentral:tRNA from 1 species
GCCUGGGUGGCUCAGUCGGUUGAGCAUCUGACUUCAGCUCAGGUCAUGACCUCACAGUUCAUAGGUUUGAGCCCCACAUCAGGCU